UAAAUACUAAUACCAGAUCGAUAGUGCACAAGUACCGUGAGGGAAAGGUGAAAAGAACUGAGGUGAUCAGAGUGAAAUAGAACCUGAAACCAUUUGCUUACAAUCAUUCAGAGCCCUAUGUAGCAAUACAGGGUGAUGGACUGCCUUUUGCAUAAUGAGCCUGCGAGUUGUGGUGUCUGGCAAGGUUAAGCAAACGCGAAGCCGUAGCGAAAGCGAGUCUGAAUAGGGCGCUUAGUCAGAUGCUGCAGACCCGAAACGAAGUGAUCUAUCCAUGAGCAAGUUGAAGCUAGUGUAAGAACUAGUGGAGGACUGAACCCAUAGGCGUUGAAAAGCCCCGGGAUGACUUGUGGAUAGGGGUGAAAGGCCAAUCAAACUUCGUGAUAGCUGGUUCUCUCCGAAAUAUAUUUAGGUAUAGCGUUGUGUCGUAAUAUAAGGGGGUAGAGCACUGAAUGGGCUAGGGCAUACACCAAUGUACCAAACCCUAUCAAACUCCGAAUACCUUAUAUGUAAUCACAGCAGUCAGGCGGCGAGUGAUAAAAUCCGUCGUCAAGAGGGAAACAACCCAGACUACCAGCUAAGGUCCCUAAAUCUUACUUAAGUGGAAAACGAUGUGAAGUUACUUAAACAACCAGGAGGUUGGCUUAGAAGCAGCCAUCCUUUAAAGAAAGCGUAAUAGCUCACUGGUCUAGUGAUUUUGCGCGGAAAAUAUAACGGGGCUAAAGUAAGUACCGAAGCUGUAGACUUGCGCACAACUUAGAUUAUUUAAGUUUAGAAUAUGAGAAACUAAGUUAUAUGUUUAGUUAUAUUUUUACUGAUUUUUAUAGAGUAAAGAUAGAAAUAAAACUUAGUAAAAUCAGUAAAAAUAUUCUUAGACUAAAGUUAAGUAGUUUAAGUUGUGUGCAAGUGGUAGGAGAGCGUUCUAUUUGCGUCGAAGGUAUACCGGUAAGGAGUGCUGGAGCGAAUAGAAGUGAGCA
rnacentral:rRNA from 1 species